GGCUGUUAAACAGCAGUCAGUACGCUCAAUGGUGUUUUAAGCCCCCAAAGUUGACUUUCAGGCAGCACUGCGACCAAUGAGUUAAAGGCUCCAAACCUUAACCCUAAUCCUAGUGCCUUCCAGGCA